UGUGUCACACAACAUCCCCCCUCAAUCCCAAUGGCCUUUAAAAUGGUUUGAAAAACUUCAACCAACCUGGCCGUUCGGGGGGCGGUUUAAUAAAUUAUACAACUUUCAGCAACGGAUCUCUUGGCUCUCGCAUCGAUGAAGAACGCAGCGAAUUGCGAUAAGUAAUGUGAAUUGCAGAUUUUCAGUGAAUCAUCGAAUCUUUGAACGCACCUUGCGCUCCUUGGUAUUCCGAGGAGCAUGCCUGUUUGAGUGUCAUUGAAUUCUCAACCAUGUCUUGGAUUUCAUUUCAAGGCUUGGCUUGGAGUUGGGGGUUUGCUGGCGGCGAAAAGCUGUCAGCUCUCCUGAAAUGCAUUAGCAAAGGGCGGCGAGUCUUUGACAUGCACGGCCUUUGACGUGAUAAUGAUCGUCGUGGCUGGAGUGUCACGGGACAUGCAUGAAUCGUCCGUGCUUCCAAUCCCUACCUAGCCACAAGUUCGAGCACUUGGCUACUAGUCGGUCGCGAGACCGACGAACGCCCGGUGUGCGGCAGUUGGCUUGUGUUUUUGCAAACUUGACCUCAAAUCAGUAGGACUACCCGCUGAACUUAAGCAUAUCAAUAAGCGG
rnacentral:rRNA from 1 species